rnacentral:rRNA from 1 species
GCCGAUGCUUAUUCUUCAGGUACACGUCAUUGAUUCCUCCCUGAAAAAGAGGUUUACAACCCAUAGGCCGUCAUCCCUCACGCGGUAUUGCUCCGUCAGGCUUUCGCCCAUUGCGGAAAAUUCCCCA